GCAGUCGAGCGGACGGAUGGGAGCUUGCUCCCUGAAGUCAGCGGCGGACGGGUGAGUAACACGUGGGCAACCUGCCUGUAAGACUGGGAUAACUUCGGGAAACCGGAGCUAAUACCGGAUAAUGCACAGCCUCUCAUGAGGUUAUGCUGAAAGAUGGUUUCGGCUAUCACUUACAGAUGGGCCCGCGGCGCAUUAGCUAGUUGGUGAGGUAACGGCUCACCAAGGCAACGAUGCGUAGCCGACCUGAGAGGGUGAUCGGCCACACUGGGACUGAGACACGGCCCAGACUCCUACGGGAGGCAGCAGUAGGGAAUCUUCCGCAAUGGACGAAAGUCUGACGGAGCAACGCCGCGUGAGUGAUGAAGGUUUUCGGAUCGUAAAACUCUGUUGUCAGGGAAGAACAAGUGCCGGAGUAACUGCCGGCACCUUGACGGUACCUGACCAGAAAGCCACGGCUAACUACGUGCCAGCAGCCGCGGUAAUACGUAGGUGGCAAGCGUUGUCCGGAAUUAUUGGGCGUAAAGCGCGCGCAGGCNNUCUCUUAAGUCUGAUGUGAAAGCCCACGGCUCAACCGUGGAGGGGUCAUU
rnacentral:rRNA from 1 species